rnacentral:rRNA from 1 species
GACGAACGCUGGCGGCGUGCUUAACACAUGCAAGUCGAACGGAAAGGCCCUGCUUUUGUGGGGUGCUCGAGUGGCGAACGGGUGAGUAACACGUGAGUAACCUGCCCUUGACUUUGGGAUAACUUCAGGAAACUGGGGCUAAUACCGGAUAGGAGCUCCUGCUGCAUGGUGGGGGUUGGAAAGUUUCGGCGGUUGGGGAUGGACUCGCGGCUUGUCAGCUUGUUGGUGGGGUAGUGGCUUGCCAAGGCUUUGACGGGUAGCCGGCCUGAGAGGGUGACCGGCCACAUUGGGACGGAGAUACGGCCCAGACUCCUACGGGAGGCAGCAGUGGGGAAUAUUGCACAAUGGGCGGAAGCCUGAUGCAGCAACGCCGCGUGCGGGAUGACGUCCUUCGGGUUGUAAACCGCUUUCGCCUGUGACGAAGCGUGAGUGACGGUAAUGGGUAAAGAAGCACCGGCUAACUACGUG